GAUGAACGCUGGCGGCGUGCCUAAUAAAUGCAAGUCGAGCGAACGGACGAGGAGCUUGCUUCUCUGAUGUUAGCGGCGGACGGGUGAGUAACACGUGGAUAACCUACCUAUAAGACUGGGAUAACUUCGGGAAACCGGAGCUAAUACCGGAUAAUAUUUUGAACCGCAUGGUUCAAAAGUGAAAGACGGUCUUGCUGUCACUUAUAGAUGGAUCCGCGCUGCAUUAGCUAGUUGGUAAGGUAACGGCUUACCAAGGCAACGAUGCAUAGCCGACCUGAGAGGGUGAUCGGCCACACUGGAACUGAGACACGGUCCAGACUCCUACGGGAGGCAGCAGUAGGGAAUCUUCCGCAAUGGGCGAAAGCCUGACGGAGCAACGCCGCGUGAGUGAUGAAGGUCUUCGGAUCGUAAAACUCUGUUAUUAGGGAAGAACAUAUGUGUAAGUAACUGUGCACAUCUUGACGGUACCUAAUCAGAAAGCCACGGCUAACUACGUG
rnacentral:rRNA from 1 species